GAAUUCGAUUCAGGCCUAACACAUGCAAGUCGAACGGCAGCGCGGGCUUCGGCCUGGCGGCGAGUGGCGAACGGGUGAGUAAUGCAUCGGAACGUGCCCAAGAGUGGGGGAUAACUAGUCGAAAGAUUAGCUAAUACCGCAUACGAUCUAAGGAUGAAAGUGGGGGACCGCAAGGCCUCAUGCUCCUGGAGCGGCCGAUGUCUGAUUAGCUAGUUGGUGGGGUAAAAGCCUACCAAGGCGACGAUCAGUAGCUGGUCUGAGAGGACGACCAGCCACACUGGGACUGAGACACGGCCCAGACUCCUACGGGAGGCAGCAGUGGGGAAUUUUGGACAAUGGGGGCAACCCUGAUCCAGCAAUGCCGCGUGUGUGAAGAAGGCCUUCGGGUUGUAAAGCACAUGGUCAGGAACGAAACGGUGAGGGCUAAUAUCCCUUG
rnacentral:rRNA from 1 species